AUGAAAAUACAACUAUCGGAAGGAUAUAUUUAAUGCGACACUUGAUGACAGUUUUUAAAGGGAAAGGUGUUGUUACAAAGAUACUAGUCUCAUGUGACCGACCUGAACAUGGUAUCUGGCCAGGACAUGAGAGAUAUGGCUUUAAGUUCCAAGAUUACAAAGAUAGUAACUUUUACUAAGACGCUAACUGUUCUCAGAUCGCAGGGAAAUAUGACAUGCAAAAGGAGGAGGAGCUUCGGUUCUGGAUCGAGGAAGUAGCCAGGGGAUGGCCAUAGGAGAGAACUUCCAGAAGGGUCUGAAGGACGGAAUCAUCCUGGGAGAAUUGAUAAACAAACUGCAGCCCGGCUCGAUAAAGAAAAUUAACCACUCACAACUGAACUGGCACAAGCUUGAGAACCUUGGCAACUUCAUCAAAGCCAUC